GCCAGUGUGGCAUAGUGGUUUGAGUGUUGGACUACAACUCUGGAGACCAGAGUUCGAUUCCCACUUGGCC
rnacentral:tRNA from 1 species